rnacentral:rRNA from 1 species
UUGGGAGCUCUCCCAUAUGGUCGACCUGCAGGCGGCCGCGAAUUCACUAGUGAUUCGUAUUACCGCGGCUGCUGGCACGGAGUUAGCCGGAGCUUAUUCUCCCGGUACUGUCAUUAUCAUCCCGGGUAAAAGAGCUUUACAACCCUAAGGCCUUCAUCACUCACGCGGCAUUGCUGGAUCAGGCUUUCGCCCAUUGUCCAAUAUUCCCCACUGCUGCCUCCCGUAGGAGUCUGGGCCGUGUCUCAGUCCCAGUGUGGCUGAUCAUCCUCUCAGACCAGCUAAGGAUCGUCGCCUUGGUGCGCCUUUACCACACCAACUAGCUAAUCCUACGCGGGCUCAUCCCUCGGCGAUAAAUCUUUGGACUUACGUCGUCAUCCGGUAUUAGCAGUCAUUUCUAACUGUUAUUCCGAACCAAGGGGCAGAUUCCCACGCGUUACGCACCCGUGCGCCACUAAGGCCGAAGCCUUCGUUCGACUUGCAUGUGUUAGGCAUGCCGCCAGCGUUCGUUCUGAGCCAUGAUCAAACUCUAAUCGAAUUCCCGCGG